rnacentral:rRNA from 1 species
GACGAACGCUGGCGGCGUGCUUAACACAUGCAAGUCGAACGGAAAGGCCCUGCUUUUGUGGGGUGCUCGAGUGGCGAACGGGUGAGUAACACGUGAGUAACCUGCCCUUGACUUUGGGAUAACUUCAGGAAACUGGGGCUAAUACCGGAUAGGAGCUCCUGCUGCAUGGUGGGGGUUGGAAAGUUUCGGCGGUUGGGGAUGGACUCGCGGCUUAUCAGCUUGUUGGUGGGGUAGUGGCUUACCAAGGCUUUGACGGGUAGCCGGCCUGAGAGGGUGACCGGCCACAUUGGGACUGAGAUACGGCCCAGACUCCUACGGGAGGCAGCAGUGGGGAAUAUUUCACAAUGGGCGGAAGCCUGAUGCAGCAACGCCGCGUGCGGGAUGACGGCCUUCGGGUUGGAAACCGCUUUCGCCUGUGACGAAGCGUGAGUGACGGUAAUGGGUAAAGAAGCACCGGCUAACUACGUG